rnacentral:tRNA from 1 species
GCCCUGGUGCUGGAACUGGUAGACAGGCAUGAUUCAGGUUCAUGUGUGGGUAACCGCGUGGGAGUUCGACUCUCCCCCAGGGCA